rnacentral:rRNA from 1 species
GAUGAACGCUGGCGGCGUGCCUAAUACAUGCAAGUCGAGCGAAUGGAUUAAGAGCUUGCUCUUAUGAAGUUAGCGGCGGACGGGUGAGUAACACGUGGGUAACCUGCCCAUAAGACUGGGAUAACUCCGGGAAACCGGGGCUAAUACCGGAUAACAUUUUGAACCGCAUGGUUCGAAAUUGAAAGGCGGCUUCGGCUGUCACUUAUGGAUGGACCCGCGUCGCAUUAGCUAGUUGGUGAGGUAACGGCUCACCAAGGCAACGAUGCGUAGCCGACCUGGGAGGGUGGUCGUCCACGCUGGCACGGGGACACGGCCCAGACUCCUCCGGGAGGCAGCAGUAGGGAAUCUUCCGCAAUGGACGAAAGUCUGACGGGGCAACGCCGCGUGAGUGAUGAAGGCUUUCGGGUCGUAAAACUCUGUUGUUAGGGAAGAACAAGUGCUAGUUGAAUAAGCUGGCACCUUGACGGUACCUAACCAGAAAGCCACGGCUAACUACGUGCCAGCCGCCGCCGUAA